rnacentral:rRNA from 1 species
CCUACGGGAGGCAGCAGUAGGGAAUCUUUCACAAUGGGCGAAAGCCUGAUGGAGCAACGCCGCGUGCAGGAUGAAGGCCUUCGGGUUGUAAACUGCUUUUAUAAGCGAGAAAUAUGAUGGUAACUUAUGAAUAAGGAUCGGCUAACUACGUGCCAGCAGCCGCGGUCAUACGUAGGAUCCGAGCAUUAUCCGGAGUGACUGGGUGUAAAGAGUUUCGUAGGUGGCAUAAUAAGUAGCUAGUGAAAUCUGGUGGCUCAACCAUUCAGACUAUUAGCUAAACUGUUAAGCUCGAGACCGUUAGGGGUAACUGGAAUGUCUAGUGUAGGAGUGAAAUCCGUAGAUAUUAGAAGGAACACCGAUAGCGUAGGCAGGUUGCUGGGACGGUUCUGACACUAAGGCACGAAAGCGUAGGGAGCAAACGGGAUUAGAUACCCUGGUAGUC